CUGGAUGGCGGCCGAGAUCCUUGAGUGUUUCGAGAUGGCAACCUGUGCAGGAAGCCUGAAGCCUUAACCAAACUUAAAAAAGAGUCCACGGGUUUAUGUCUUGGCUAAGGGGUGUGUUCAACCUUGGAUUUCCUUGGCUUGCUGGUUUGCUGGAGCAGCAGUCGCUUGCUGUGCCUACAACUGAACAGAUGCGUUCCUGGCAUCUCUGGCUGCUCCUGCCCCUUUGUGGACAAUGGCAAGUGCUGGUUUCUCAGUGGCCGCUGGAAGUAUCCAACCCUCAACCCACCUUUGUCCAGAAAAACCUUGGCAGAUCGAAAAAGGUAGACUGAGCACAACAACACACCAAUGCCUUCUCCUUUCUGCCUAGGCCUGCUUUCUCCAGUGUGUCUGGAGAAGGACAAGACUGAGUGGAUGUACCUGCUGCACAACUUGCUGUGUGUCUUGUCAUCUCCAAGGAGGGGCUGGCUUCACCUGGUAUCACUUCAUAACCUUCAUAACCCAACCCUUCCAGCGUGUUACUUAGCUCUGACCAUCCUGAAUUUGUACUUCAAGACGGUGCAUCAACACCAAAUCCUUGCCUUGAUGGCUGGGUGUAUAUUAUUAAAAUUUAUUUAUUUAUUACUGUA